AGUCAAACAAUAAAAUAAAAUCCAGUACUCAAACUUUUAUCUACAGCGCUUUCGCCCUGCGGGCUCUUCAGUAGAUUUUUAAACAAUGUAAACCACCCGGACCUUAAACUGCGCCAAAUCGUUCUUGUUCAACACAAAUACUUAGUAAUUUCCUAGAUAUUAUGCUAAACUCCAUCUGCAAUGUUCCGAGUUAUAUUCGGGACGACAUGGAUUUCUUAAACCAUAUUCCUAAAGUCGUUUAAGAAAAUACAAAAUUGAUGAGUUUUGAUGUCACAAAUUUGUAUACAAAUAUCCCACACAACUUGGUAUAGAAGCCAUUUCCUUCUGGAUUGAUAAACAUCAAGGUGUAUUGCAAUCAAGAUUUUCAAAGAAAUUUAUCCUGGAAGGAAUCAAAAUAGUUUUGGAAAAUAAUCAUUUCUUUUUUUAAAACAAAUACUUUUUUCAAACGAAAGGAACAGCCAUGGGGACAAAAGUCUUACGCAACUUUAGUUUUGGGCUUUCUUGAGGAGAAACUAUUUACAGAAUGCAAAACAGUUUUUGGAGAAGAAUUUGGCCUGUAUAUUGAGAAUCAAUGGAAACGCUAUUUGGAUGAUUGCUUUAUUUUUUUGGGACCAAAUCAUUACAAGAUCCACAAUAUUCCCACAACAUGCUGAAUCACCUACACAAUAAUGGGGUUUAUCCAAUGUGGAUAAACCUGGUUAUUUUGUGCAGGUGGUAACAGACUACUAAUUUUACCCCUAUUUUAUUGACCACGCAAGUAGUGCCAAUUUAUAAAUAGAGGUUUUUUCUCAAAAAUUCUUGGGGAUGUCUGUGGGAUGGAAUUGUGUUAUUCUAGGGCAUAGAUGAAAAGGAGAGGGUCUGGAAAAAAAAAUAAAAAUAUAAUAAUGGGAAAUUCUGCUCUUAAGUGUGUAGUAGGAAGGGUGUAAAUAGGCCAUUGUUUACCUGCUUCUCAAAGGGAAAGGGAAAUAUGCAGGGUAGGAGUUACUUGCGGUGUCAUAACAGGACUUGUGUGCGGUGAAUUUUCCUGAGAUUCACAAAUAUUUUUGGACUUGAAUUGCUCUAAGUCUGUGCCAAAUUUCAGUGAGAACAUCACAGAACGGUAAUAAAUCUCACAGAUAUGCUGCAUCAUCAGUCAGAGCAUCACAGAAUGGUUAGACAUCUUACAGGUAUGCUGCAUUAUCAGUCAGAACAUCACAGAACGGUAAGAAAAUCUCACAGAUAUGCUGCACCAUCAGUCAGAGCAUCACAGAACGGUACGAAAUCUUACAGGUAUGCUGCAUUAUCAGUCAGAACAUCACAGAACGGUAAGAAAAUUUCACAGAUAUGCUGUAUCAUCAGUCAGAACAUCACAGAACGGUACGAAAUCUUACAGGUAUGCUGCAGCAUCAGUCAGAACAUCACAGAACGGUACGAAAUCUUACAGGUAUGCUGCAGCAUCAUUCAGAACAUCACAGAACGGUUAGAAAUCUGACAGGUAUGCUGCAGCAUCAGUCAGAACAUCACAGAACGGUAAGAAAUCUUACAGGUAUGCUGCAGCAGUACUGUGGAAUAGCUUCCCACAAAAUGUUAGGGACACAAGUAAUUUUAAUCGUUUCAAAUCCUUACAAUCCCAUUGGAAUGGAAAGGGCUGCAGUUGCAAUUCCGGUUGGUAAUUUUUUUUUUAUCCAUACUGCUGCAACAAAUCCUGGGUCCGUUCUACAAAAUAACUUAGGACAAAGUUGCAAAUCUGAAAUUGUAUUACACAGUUAUAAGUUUAAAUGAAUAAAUUAAAACGUGUCUGAGAGACUGAGACUUAAUUUUCAGCAUUAUGUUUUACUAUUUUAAAUUCGUUGGUCGUAAGUUGUAAGUUCUUUUGACAUGCCUCUAUCACAUCCUCUGACAUGCCUCUAUCACAUCCUCUGACAUGCCUCUAUCACAUCCUCUGACAUGCCUCUAUCACAUCCUCUGACAUGCCUCUAUUACAUCCUCUGACAUGCCUCUAUCACAUCCUCUGACAUGCCUCUAUCACAUCCUCUGACAUGCCUCUAUCACAUCCUCUGACAUGCCUCUAUCACAUCCUCUGACAUGCCUCUAUCACAUCCUCUGACAUGCCUCUAUCACAUCCUCUGACAUGCCUCUAUCACAUCCUCUAACAUGCCUCUAUUACAUCCUCUGCUUUAUGCCUUAACAGUGCUUUUGUAAAAUGUCUCUUAUUGAUGUCCAGUGCUGUAAUAUAUGUAUGUGUAUAUAUUGUCUGUCAUUGAUUUUCAGUGCUGCAAUAUUUGCAUAUAAUGUCUGCUAUUGAUAUUCAGUGCUGUAAUAUCUGUAUAUAACGUCUGUUAUUAAUGUUAAGUGCUGUAAUAUGUGUAUAUAAUGUGUGUUAUUGAUGUUCAGUGCUGUAAUAUGUGUGUGUAUAAUGUUUGUUAUUGAUGUUCAGUGCUGUUAUAUGUGUAUAUAAUGUCUGAUAUUGAUAUUCAGUGCUGUAAUAUGUGUAUGUGUAUAUAAUGUCUGUAAUUGAUGUUCAGUGUUGUAAUAUGUGUAUAUAAUGUCUGCUAUUGAUGUUCAGUGCUGUAAUAUGUGUAUGUGUAUAUAAUGUUUGUCAUUGAUGUUCAGUUCUGUAAUAUGUGUGUGUGUGUAUAAAGUAUGUUAUUUAUUAUUAUAAGUAUGUGACACGGGGUAUCCGUUUUUAAAGUCAUUUCCGAGGACCCAUGACAUUCACACCUGAUGCCGAGCAUUUGGCGAUGGAACUGGCGCUACCUGUUUAAAAGACUUAGGUCUGCGCGACCCCGAACGUCCAUAUGCGAUGCGAACGGAAGAUCGGGGUUCGAAUCCCGGCCGCGACUGUAUUUCCUUACAUGAAUACUAAUGAAAUUGACAUUCAAUUUCGUAUAACAUGAAGUUGGUAACGUGAUCAGUCUUUUCUUAAGCAUGAA